rnacentral:rRNA from 1 species
AGCUCCAAUAGCGUAUAUUAAAGUUGUUGCAGUUAAAAAGCUCGUAGUUGGAUCUCAGGCGCAGGCGGGCGGUCCGGCUCGCGCCGGUCACUGCCCGUUGUUCCUGCCCUACCGUCUGCAGGCUCUCUCCCGCGGGUGCUCUUCGCUGAGCGUCCCGGGUGGCCUGUACUUUUACUUUGAAAAAAUUAGAGUGUUCAAAGCAGGCCUCGGCUGCCUGAAUAAUGGUGCAUGGAAUAAUGGAAUAGGACCUUUCUAUUU